CGGAUAGUGUCUUGAACGCACGAACAAAACAGAGGAUAUUUGAACAGAACUAUGGAUUAUUUUGAACCAAACCAACAUUUGUUAUUGAAGUAGAAGUCCUGGGAGUGCAUUCUGACGAAGAACAGCAAAGCCAGUAUGGAACCUAUCAUCACUUGAAGCCCAACCACAAGACCCGGACAGACCAGAAACUGACAGGAUGAGAGGUGGGACGUGAAGUGACAGGAAUGAGGCGUAAUCGCUGGGCUAGCUCCCAUAGCAACCAAACAGAGCUAACUGAGCUGUAUCCCAUCAUGUGAUACAGCCUGGACAACAGGAGGAGAAGGAGAGGAGGAGGACACAACCUGGACAACAGGAGGAGAAGGAGAGGAGGAGGACACAACCUGGACAACAGGAGGAGAAGGAGAGGAGGAGGACACAACGUGGACAACAGGAGGAGA
rnacentral:lncRNA from 1 species